rnacentral:rRNA from 1 species
AUUAGAGUUUGAUCCUGGCUCAGGAUGAACGCUGGCGGCGUGCCUAACACAUGCAAGUCGAGCGGAGAAUUGAGAGCUUGCUCUUAAUUCUUAGCGGCAGACGGGUGAGUAACACGUGAGCAACCUGCCUUAAAGAGGGGGAUAACGUUGGGAAACCAACGCUAAUACCGCAUAACAUAUAUUUGUCGCAUGACAGAUAUAUCAAGGGAGCAAUCCGCUUUAAGAUGGGCUCGCGCCUGAUUAGGUAGUUGGUGAGGUAAUGGCUCACCAAGCCGACGACCAGUAGCCGACCUGAGAGGGUGACCGGCCACAUUGGGACUGAGACACGGCCCAAACUCCUACGGGAGGCAGCAGUGGGGAAUAUUGGACAAUGGGGGAAACCCUGAUCCAGCGACGCCGCGUGAGUGAAGAAGUGUUUCGGCAUGUAAAGCUCUAUCAGCGGGGAAGAAAAUGACGGUACCUGACUAAGAAGCCCCGGCUAACUACGUGCCAGCAGCCGCGGUAAUAAU